rnacentral:misc_RNA from 1 species
AGCAGCCGCGGUAAUUCCAGCUCCAAUAGCGUAUAUUAAAGUUGUUGCAGUUAAAAAGCUCGUAGUUGAACUUCGGGGUCUACCCAUUGGUCAGGCUUAAUUGUCUGCACUGGUGGGAUGGAUCUCUACCUUCUGAGGAACUUUCAUGCCAUUUAUUUGAUGUGAUUGGAAAUCAGGACUGUUACUUUAGAAAAAUUAGAGUGUUUAAAGCAGACUAUCGUCUGAAUACAUUAGCAUGGAAUAAUGAAAUAGGACGGACUGAUUCUAUUUCGUUGGUUUCUAGGAUCACCGUAAUGAUUAAUAGGGAUAGUUGGGGGCAUUAGUAUUCAAUUGUCAGAGGUGAAAUUCUUGGAUU